AAAUUUGUUUAAUUACAGGAUUCAGAACGAACAAGGCAAGUUUACCGGGCAUGUCUAGAACUAAUUCCACAUAAAAAUUUUACCUUUGCUAAGCUGUGGCUACUAUAUGCACAGUUUGAGAUCAGACAGAAAAAUCUUCCAUUUGCCAGACAAGCACUGGGUACAUCAAUAGGCAAAUGUCCAAAAAACAAACUCUUCAAAGGGUACAUUGAAUUAGAACUGCAGCUGAGAGAAGUUGAACGCUGCAGGAAGCUUUAUGAGAAAUACCUAGAAUUUGCUCCUGAAAACUGUACAACCUGGAUUAAGUUUGCUGAGCUGGAGACUAUCUUGGGAGACAUUGAUAGAGCACGUGCCAUAUAUAAACUUGCCAUAAACCAGCCACGUCUUGAUAUGCCAGAGUAACUCGGCCAGUGGAAGACAGAAAAGAAAAAGAACAGGAAAGAAGAGUAUUGUGUGCUGUUGGUGCUUAAGACUGUGUUGUACUU